rnacentral:rRNA from 1 species
UACGGAGGGUGCGAGCGUUGUCCGGAAUCACUGGGCGUAAAGGGCGCGUAGGCGGCCGCGUAAGUCACUUGUGAAAUCCCGGGGCUCAACUCCGGGGCCGCAGGUGAGACUGCGUGGCUAGAGCACGGUAGAGGCGAGUGGAAUUCCCGGUGUAACGGUGGAAUGCGUAGAUAUCGGGAAGAACACCGGUGGCGAAGGCGGCUCGCUGGGCCGUUGCUGACGCUGAUGCGCGAAAGCGUGGGGAGCAAACAGG